rnacentral:pre_miRNA from 1 species
AGUGGGAUAGCUGGGUCAAAAUGGUGGUUCCAUUCCAAGUUUUCCAAGGAAUCUCCAUACUGCUUUUCAGAGUGGUUACACCAAUUUGCAGUCCCACCAGCAAU